rnacentral:ncRNA from 1 species
ACUUUUUGUGUAAGCAGAAAGCAUUGAGUCAAGUAGUGAUAACUUUAUGCAUUCCUGGAAAACAGUUGAAACGGUUCCCAUUUAUCUGAGAAAUGCAUUUUGGAAUCGUCACGGUGCAGCUUUUAGGUGCAAGCAGAACAGACCAGCUCCUAGAAAUGGGAUUUGAAAUAAAAGCGACAAAUGUGACAUCCCUGCAGCAUCCCACUCCGGGGAUAGCAUCAGGUGGGGAGUUUGGCUGGGGUGGUACACCCAUCAGACUGUAAGACAGGUCUUCUAAGGUGAGCUCAGGGAGGAUGGAAACCUCCCGCGGAGGAGAAGGGGAAAAAGCUUUCUUGAUCUUGACUCUCAGUACAAAUACAGAACGUGAAAGCAGGGCCUCAUCAUCCUUCUGACUUUUUGGGUUUUGCCCAAAACCCCAAACAUUCCUAACUCAUAUUAUGUUUAUGCUUGUAAAUUGUAAUUGUUAUUUUUCAGAAAGAGGU